rnacentral:rRNA from 1 species
AAAUUAGCGGAUGACUUGUGGCUGGGGGUGAAAGGCCAAUCAAACCGGGAGAUAGCUGGUUCUCCCCGAAAGCUAUUUAGGUAGCGCCUCGUGAAUUCAUCUUCGGGGGUAGAGCACUGUUUCGGCUAGGGGGUCAUCCCGACUUACCAACCCGAUGCAAACUACGAAUACCGAAGAAUGUUAUCACGGGAGACACACGGCGGGUGCUAACGUCCGUCGUGAAGAGGGAAACAACCCAGACCGCCAGCUAAGGUCCCAAAGUCAUGGUUAAGUGGGAAACGAUGUGGGAAGGCACAGACAGCCAGGAUGUUGGCUUAGAAGCAGCCA